AACAGCAAGGCAGAACACCUAAGCUUGCAUUUGACAGGCAUGGAUUUCUGUGGACGAGGAGAGCCUGGCAUCUCCCAGGUUGCUGUGGUUGUCCACACCAUUAUUCCUGCCUCCCUCAGUCCCCUCCCUACUCGGCUCAGGCUCCCUGAAGGAGGUUGCAUGCAAAUGUCAGAACCACCAUUCAUCCCCAGGCCUGCGUUGUACCAAAGAU
rnacentral:lncRNA from 1 species